GAUAAUCAUGGAGUAUAAAAAUUAAAUUUAAUAAAUUUAAUAUAACUAUUAAUAGAAUUAGGUUACUAAUAAAUUAAUAACAAUUAAUUUUAAAACCUAAAGGUAAACCUUUAUAUUAAUAAUGUUUUUUUUUUAUUUUUAUAAUUAAGAAUAAUUAUUAAUAAUAAUAAACUAAGUGAACUGAAACAUCUAAGUAACUUAAGGAUAAUAAAUCAACAGAGAUAUUAUGAGUAUUGGUGAGAGAAAAUAAUAAAGGUCUAAUAAGUAUUAUGUGAAAAAAAUGUAAGAAAAUAGGAUAACAAAUUCUAAGACUAAAUACUAUUAAUAAGUAUAGUAAGUACCGUAAGGGAAAGUAUGAAAAUGAUUAUUUUAUAAGCAAUCAUGAAUAUAUUAUAUUAUAUUAAUGAUGUACCUUUUGUAUAAUGGGUCAGCAAGUAAUUAAUAUUAGUAAAACAAUAAGUUAUAAAUAAAUAGAAUAAUAUAUAUAUAUAAAAAAAUAUAUUAAAAUAUUUAAUUAAUAUUAAUUGACCCGAAAGCAAACGAUCUAACUAUGAUAAGAUGGAUAAACGAUCGAACAGGUUGAUGUUGCAAUAUCAUCUGAUUAAUUGUGGUUAGUAGUGAAAGACAAAUCUGGUUUGCAGAUAGCUGGUUUUCUAUGAAAUAUAUGUAAGUAUAGCCUUUAUAAAUAAUAAUUAUUAUAUAAUAUUAUAUAAAUAUUAUAUAAAGAAUGGUACAGCAAUUAAUAUAUAUUAGGGAACUAUUAAAGUUUUAUUAAUAAUAUUAAAUCUCGAAAUAUUUAAUUAUAUAUAAUAAAGAGUCAGAUUAUGUGCGAUAAGGUAAAUAAUCUAAAGGGAAACAGCCCAGAUUAAGAUAUAAAGUUCCUAAUAAAUAAUAAGUGAAAUAAAUAUUAAAAUAUUAUAAUAUAAUCAGUUAAUGGGUUUGACAAUAACCAUUUUUUAAUGAACAUGUAACAAUGCACUGAUUUAUAAUAAAUAAAAAAAAUAAUAUUUAAAAUCAAAUAUAUAUAUAUUUGUUAAUAGAUAAUAUACGGAUCUUAAUAAUAAGAAUUAUUUAAUUCCUAAUAUGGAAUAUUAUAUUUUUAUAAUAAUAAUAAAAAUAUAAAUACUGAAUAUCUAAAUAUUAUUAUUACUUUUUUUUUUAAUAAUAAUAAUAUGGUAAUAGAACAUUUAAUGAUAAUAUAUAUUAGUUAUUAAUUAAUAUAUGUAUUAAUUAAAUAGAGAAUGCUGACAUGAGUAACGAAAAAAAGGUAUAAACCUUUUCACCUAAAACAUAAGGUUUAACUAUAAAAGUACGGCCCCUAAUUAAAUUAUAUAAGAAUAUAAAUAUAUUUAAGAUGGGAUAAUCUAUAUUAAUAAAAAUUUAUCUUAAAAUAUAUAUAUUAUUAAUAAUUAUAUUAAUUAAUUAAUAAUAUAUAUAAUUAUAUUAUAUAUUAUAUUUUUAUAUAUAAUAUAUAUAAUAUAAACUAAUAAAGAUCAGGAAAUAAUUAAUGUAUACCGUAAUGUAGACCGACUCAGGUAUGUAAGUAGAGAAUAUGAAGGUGAAUUAGAUAAUUAAAGGGAAGGAACUCGGCAAAGAUAGCUCAUAAGUUAGUCAAUAAAGAGUAAUAAGAACAAAGUUGUACAACUGUUUACUAAAAACACCGCACUUUGCAGAAACGAUAAGUUUAAGUAUAAGGUGUGAACUCUGCUCCAUGCUUAAUAUAUAAAUAAAAUUAUUUAACGAUAAUUUUAUUAAAUUUAGGUAAAUAGCAGCCUUAUUAUGAGGGUUAUAAUGUAGCGAAAUUCCUUGGCCUAUAAUUGAGGUCCCGCAUGAAUGACGUAAUGAUACAACAACUGUCUCCCCUUUAAGCUAAGUGAAAUUGAAAUCGUAGUGAAGAUGCUAUGUACCUUCAGCAAGACGGAAAGACCCUAUGCAGCUUUACUGUAAUUAGAUAGAUCGAAUUAUUGUUUAUUAUAUUCAGCAUAUUAAGUAAUCCUAUUAUUAGGUAAUCGUUUAGAUAUUAAUGAGAUACUUAUUAUAAUAUAAUGAUAAUUCUAAUCUUAUAAAUAAUUAUUAUUAUUAUUAUUAUUAAUAAUAAUAAUAUGCUUUCAAGCAUAGUGAUAAAACAUAUUUAUAUGAUAAUCACUUUACUUAAUAGAUAUAAUUCUUAAGUAAUAUAUAAUAUAUAUUAUAUAUAUAUUAUAUAUAAUAUAAGAGACAAUCUCUAAUUGGUAGUUUUGAUGGGGCGUCAUUAUCAGCAAAAGUAUCUGAAUAAGUCCAUAAAUAAAUAUAUAAAAUUAUUGAAUAAAAAAAUAAUAUAUAUUAUAUAUAUUAAUUAUAAAUUGAAAUAUGUUUAUAUAAAUUUAUAUUUAUUGAAUAUAUUUUAGUAAUAGAUAAAAAUAUGUACAGUAAAAUUGUAAGGAAAACAAUAAUAACUUUCUCCUCUCUCGGUGGGGGUUCACACCUAUUUUUAAUAGGUGUGAACCCCUCUUCGGGGUUCCGGUUCCCUUUCGGGUCCCGGAACUUAAAUAAAAAUGGAAAGAAUUAAAUUAAUAUAAUGGUAUAACUGUGCGAUAAUUGUAACACAAACGAGUGAAACAAGUACGUAAGUAUGGCAUAAUGAACAAAUAACACUGAUUGUAAAGGUUAUUGAUAACGAAUAAAAGUUACGCUAGGGAUAACAGGGUAAUAUAACGAAAGAGUAGAUAUUGUAAGUUAUGUUUGCCACCUCGAUGUCGACUCAACAUUUCCUCUUGGUUGUAAAAGCUAAGAAGGGUUUGACUGUUCGUCAAUUAAAAUGUUACGUGAGUUGGGUUAAAUACGAUGUGAAUCAGUAUGGUUCCUAUCUGCUGAAGGAAAUAUUAUCAAAUUAAAUCUCAUUAUUAGUACGCAAGGACCAUAAUGAAUCAACCCAUGGUGUAUCUAUUGAUAAUAAUAUAAUAUAUUUAAUAAAAAUAAUACUUUAUUAAUAUAUUAUCUAUAUUAGUUUAUAUUUUAAUUAUAUAUUAUCAUAGUAGAUAAGCUAAGUUGAUAAUAAAUAAAUAUUGAAUACAUAUUAAAUAUGAAGUUGUUUUAAUAAGAUAAUUAAUCUGAUAAUUUUAUACUAAAAUUAAUAAUUAUAGGUUUUAUAUAUUAUUUAUAAAUAUAAUAUAAUAAUUAUUAUUAUUAAUAAAAAAAAUAUUAAUUAUA
rnacentral:rRNA from 1 species